GAGAAUGUACUAGAGCUUCAGAUACUCAGGGAACUUCCAGUUGCCCCCCCAAACCUGUGUCAACUACUUGUGAUGACUCUAACAAGUCCCCAAACCCAGGUACUUCUCAAAACUGUGCUACUCCCUGGGACCAGAGGCUCUCCAAACCUCAGCUAGUAGGUGUCCCAGACAAUCUCAUCCCAGCUACACUCCACAUCCAUCCACUCCUCAAGCACUACUGUCCCCAGCUACUCCCCAGGUCGCCAGCUACUCCCCAGGUCCUCAGCUACUCCCCCAGUCCCCAGCUACUCCCCAGGUCCCCAGCUACUCCCCAGGUCUCCAGCUACUCUAUAAGCUCAACUACACCAAAGUGCCAGCUAUGCCACUUUCUUUGAUACUCCACAAAUUCCCAGUACCCAUACAUCCUGGCUCCUAUACUUGUUGCCCUGAAGCUUCAGAUGUGGCUAUGCCCCAUGCCUAGCUAUUC